rnacentral:rRNA from 1 species
AGUGAACGCUGGCGGCAGGCCUAACACAUGCAAGUCGAACGGACGCACAGUAAGCGCUCGCCCCUACGGGUGGCGACUGGCGGACGGGUGAGACAUACAUCGGCUUCCACUUUUACGUGGGGGACUACGUAGGGCCGCUUAUGCUACUACCGCAUAUGUUCUACGGGUGAAUGCAGGGGUUCUUCGCACCUUUCCUGACUCUUAUAGACGAUGUCGGAUUAGCUAGUUGGCGGGGUAAAGGCACACCAAGGCGACGAUCCGUAGCUGAUCUGAGAGGAUGAUCGGCCACACUGGAACUGAGACACGGUCCAGACUCCUACGGGAGGCAGCAGUGGGGAAUAUUGGACAAUGGGCGCAAGCCUGAUCCAGCCAUACCGCGUGAGUGAAGAAGGCCUUCGGAUUGUAAAGCCCUUUUGUUGGGAAAGAAAAGCAGCAGGUUAAUACCCCGCUGUUCUGACGGUACCCAAAGAAUAAGCACCGGCUAACUUCGUG